UCUACCAAAGGAUAAUAGUAUUCCACUGGUCUUAGGCGCCAAA
rnacentral:tRNA from 1 species